rnacentral:rRNA from 1 species
UACGGAGGGUGCGAGCGUUGUCCGGAAUCACUGGGCGUAAAGGGCGCGUAGGCGGCGCGAGCAGUCGGCGGUGAAAGCCCGGAGCUCAACUCCGGGUCGGCCGUCGAUACUCUCGUGCUUGGGCACUGUAGAGGCAGGUGGAAUUCCGGGUGUAGCGGUGGAAUGCGUAGAGAUCCGGAAGAACACCGGUGGCGAAGGCGGCCUGCUGGGCAGUAGCUGACGCUGAUGCGCGACAGCGUGGGGAGCAAACAGG